UACGGCCACACACGUUGAAACACCGGUUCCCGUACGAUCACCGAAGUUAAGCAAAGUCGAGCCUAGUCAGUAUCUAGGUGGGUGACCGUUUGGGAAUACUAGGUGCU